rnacentral:rRNA from 1 species
UGCGUAGGCGUCCAGGAAAGUUAUUUGUUAAAUCCUCCGGCUUAACCGGAGAAAUGCAUAUAAAACUACUUGGAUAGAGUUUAAGAGAGGAAAUGGAAUUCCUGGUGUAGCGGUGACAUGCGUAGAUAUCAGGAGGAACACCUAUGGCGAAGGCAGUUUUCUGGCUUAAAACUGACGCUGAGGCACGAAAGCGUGGGGAGCAAACA